UCCCUUGUGGCUCAGCUGGUAAAGAAUCUGCCUGCAAUGCAGGAGACCUGGGUUUGACCCCUGCAUUGGGA
rnacentral:tRNA from 1 species